GUGCCUGUUCCUCUCUUUACAUGCCCGCUGACUGAGACCCAUGAGAGUUUUACAGAGAAAUAUCUGCAUGUAUAAAUUUGCAGAAAACUGAAAACGAGACACACUUUAGUGCUGCAAAGUCUUUCCACUAGCUGACAUGAAGCUGAAUAUAGAGGGUUUAUUAGUCUACUUUCCGUAUGACUAUAUUUAUCCCGAACAAUACUCGUACAUGCUUGAACUCAAGAGGACACUGGAUGCAAAGGGUCAUGGAGUUCUCGAAAUGCCCUCAGGAACAGGAAAAACUAUUUCUCUUCUUUCCCUCAUUGUUGCUUACCAGAAGGCUUACCCCUUAGAAGUGACCAAGCUGAUCUACUGCUCUCGUACUGUACCUGAGAUAGAGAAGGUUGUGGAGGAGUUAAGGAAGCUAAUGGAUUAUUAUGCAAAGGAAACGGGAGCGAAAAACAUCUUCCUUGCACUGGCACUAUCUUCACGGAAAAACCUGUGCAUUCAUCCUGAGGUCAGCUCUUUGCGUUUUGGAAAAGAAGUAGACGGAAAGUGUCACAGUCUGACAGCGUCAUACAUUCGAGCACAGCAUCACAGUAACCCAAGUCAACCUGUCUGCCAGUUCUAUGAGGAAUUUGAUGCAGUAGGUAGGCAGGUGCCCCUUCCCUCUGGUAUAUAUAACUUGGAUGAUCUGAAGGACUUUGGGCGUAGAAAAGGCUGGUGCCCAUACUUCCUGGCACGUUACUCAAUUCUCCAUGCAAACAUUGUAGUGUACAGCUACCAUUACCUACUUGAUCCAAAAAUUGCAGACCUGGUGUCCAAAGAGCUUGCAAAGAAAUCUGUAGUUGUGUUCGACGAGGCUCACAACAUAGAUAAUGUGUGUAUUGAUUCCAUGAGCGUCAACAUUACAAGGCGGACGCUGGAUCGGUGCCAGGCUAAUGUGGAAACCCUGCAAAACACUAUAAGGAGAAUUAAGGAAACAGAUGCUACCAAACUUAGAGAAGAAUACAGGAGAUUAGUUGAAGGCCUUAAAGAAGCAAACGUUGCCCGAGAAACUGACAUCUAUCUGUCCAAUCCUGUCCUGCCGGAUGAAAUCCUCCAGGAGGCUGUUCCUGGCAGUAUCCGGACGGCAGAGCACUUUGUGGGCUUCAUAAAGCGCUUCCUAGAGUACCUAAAGGCACGUUUGCGGAUCCAUCAUGUGGUGCAGGAGAGUGCUCCUCAGUUUCUCAAAGACAUCUUUGAGAAGGUCUGCAUUGACCGCAAGCCUCUUAGAUUUUGUGCUGAGCGGCUGCGCUCUCUACUGAGGACGUUGGAGAUUGCUGACAUCGCUGACUUCUCAGCCAUUACUCUGAUCUCUCACUUUGCUACACUUGUCAGCACCUACAGCAAAGGCUUCACCAUUAUCAUUGAGCCCUUCGAAGAUAGAACGCCAACAAUAGCAAAUCCUGUUCUUCACUUCAGUUGUAUGGAUCCCUCUAUUGCCAUCAAGCCUGUAUUUGGGCGCUUUCAGUCAGUCGUUAUUACAUCAGGGACUCUUUCUCCACUGGACAUCUACCCACGCAUUCUUGACUUCCGCCCCGUCACUGUGGCAUCCUUCACCAUGACACUGGCACGAACCUGCCUUUGCCCUCUUAUUGUUGGACGAGGGAAUGAUCAGGUGGCCAUGACUUCCAAAUUUGAGACCAGGGAAGAUUUUGCUGUAAUCCGGAACUAUGGAAACCUGCUGCUGGAAAUGUCCGCUAUUGUCCCUGACGGAAUUGUGGCGUUUUUCACAAGUUACGUUUACAUGGAGAACAUUGUGGCCUCAUGGUAUGAACAGGGAAUUCUUGAGAACAUCCAGAAAAACAAGCUCAUUUUCAUAGAGACCCAAGAUGCAGCAGAGACCAGCAUGGCCCUGGAGAAGUAUCAGGAGGCCUGUGAGAAUGGCAGAGGAGCAAUUCUUCUUUCAGUGGCAAGAGGGAAGGUGUCAGAGGGUAUUGACUUUGUUCAUCACUUUGGUCGAGCUGUUAUCAUGUUUGGAGUGCCAUAUGUUUAUACUCAAAGCCGAAUUCUCAAGGCGCGGUUGGAAUACCUGAGAGACCAGUUUCAAAUCAGGGAAAAUGACUUCCUGACUUUUGAUGCGAUGCGUCAUGCAGCUCAGUGUGUGGGUAGGGCCAUCCGAGGCAAAACAGACUAUGGCCUUAUGAUCUUUGCUGACAAGCGUUAUGCACGAGCAGAUAAACGAGGGAAACUGCCCCGCUGGAUCCAAGAACACCUUGCAGAUGGAAGCUUAAAUCUGACCAUCGAUGAGACGGUGCAGUUGUCCAAACACUUUCUACGACAGAUGGCCCAGCCAUUCAGACGGGAGGAUCAGUUGGGUCUGUCGCUGCUGACCCUGGAACAGCUGCAGUCUGAGGAAAUGCUGAAGAAAAUUGCCCAGAUCGCUCAGCAAGCAUGACAUCUCUUACAGGGCCAUGAAACAGAUUCAGGGCUGCUGUUGAGCUCGGGCAAGCUCGUCCCUCAGCCACUGAUUCUCCUGGCACAGCCUCCGCACCUGAGCACGCAACUUCUGCUUCUCAGCCUCCAAGGAGCCCAGGUGUGCUGACAAUGCCAUCAUCACCUGCAGAAGUGGGAAACAGGGAGCUACAGUGAGUGGAAGUCAACAUGACAAGUUUUUAGAAGUAGUGGAACUGAAAUUCCUUAAAGUUAAAGUGAUAGAUAAAAUCUAUACCUAAAAUAUAUAUCUAUAUAUAAAAUCUGCAUAUAUCAAAUCUAGUUACAUCUCAGUUUUUUUGCUUUUCUUUCUUUUCUAUCCAUCCAUCCAUCCAUCCAAGCAUCCAACGAUCCAUCUAUUUGUUUUAGAAUUCUAACUGGCCAACAUUGGUCUCAACCAAUGGCGUGAAUUUGGGGCAGGAUUAUAUGUUUGUCUGACCAAUGAAAGAUUGGGGGAGUGUUCAGGAAACCUGUUAGAAAAUGGUUAUUAUUUUUGCAAUUCCAUUUGGUGUCACUAGAGGCAUAAAAACUACACACUUUGGGCUCUAUUUUUGUGAGUGCACCAAGCGCACUACUGUGCACUACAACCGUGCGCAACAUCUUAUCAAAUAUUCGUGAAAGCGCAAUUUUCGUGCCAGUGCAAAGCGCAAGUGGCCCUGGGUGAGAGUGUUUGCGCUGCCUGUGGGUUUAUGCGUGCAAACUGUGGGUGUAUUGUAUGUAAAUGAAGUGCCGCAAAGCACAAUUUGCUAUUUUCCUGAGAAAUAAGACGUUUCAACACCACGUCUGUUUUCAGCGCAAAGUCUAAACUCAGUUCCUGCAUUUGCAUUUUGGAGAUUCUACCAGAAUGUGGUAAUAAAGUUCAUGUCCAAACUCUGAAAAUACAGUGAAAUAUAAAAUAAUGUCCAUGACGAUCAAUGUUGUAGCCGUUUAUGUUAAACUAUCUUUAGGUCAUGGUUUAUUUUUCAGUUAUUAUUAUUAUGUACAACUGUAUUACUGAUCUAAUUUGUAUUGGUAUUUUUCAACUUGUUGUCAUAGAGUGAUUUUUAAGUCACUGCAAAAUGGGCUGGUGGAAGAAGUUGGAGAGAGUAAAAUGUUUGGAUUUGGAAAUGGACUAUAUAAUUGGACACAGACGGUGCUGGAGAAGAACCAAUUAAAUUGCACUUGACCCAGCCCAUAAGCUUUUUGUGACUGACACAUGACCACGCCCCCCAUGCCACAAGGGCCCUUCACCUUUUAUGUUUGCUUUGAUAUUUAAAAUAGUAAAUAACAAACAAAAGUCUCAUAUGGACCUGUGCUGCUCACCUGUGCCUCUCCUA